GAUGAACGCUGGCGGCGUGCCUAAUACAUGCAAGUCGAGCGAACAGACGAGGAGCUUGCUCCUCUGACGUUAGCGGCGGACGGGCGAGUAACACGUGGAUAACCUACCUAUAAGACUGGGAUAACUUCGGGAAACCGGAGCUAAUACCGGAGAAUAUAUUGAACCGCAUGGAUCAAUAGUGAAAGACGGUUUUGCUGUCACUUAUAGAUGGAUCCGCGCCGCAUUAGCUAGUUGGUAAGGUAACGGCUUACCAAGGCAACGAUGCGUAGCUGACCUGAGAGGGUGAUCGGCCACACUGGAACUGAGACACGGUCCAGACUCCUACGGGAGGCAGCAGUAGGGAAUCUUCCGCAAUGGGCGAAAGCCUGACGCAGCCACGCCGCGUGAGUGAUGAAGGUCUUCGGAUCGUAAAACUCUUUUAUUAGGGAAGAACAAAUGUGUAAGUAACUAUGCACGUCUUGACGGUACCUAAUCAGAAAGCCACGGCUAACUACGUG
rnacentral:rRNA from 1 species